GAAUGUUGUGUAGGUUCGAAUCCUACUCCCGCCA
rnacentral:tRNA from 1 species